rnacentral:rRNA from 1 species
ACACGGACGAAGGAGUCUAACAGUCGCGCGAGUCUUUGAGUGGCAAACUCUGAGGCACAAUGAAAGUGAAAACAAGGUGUUGCAGCACCGGCCGCCGUUCCUUCAGGGAACGAGUGAGCAAGAGCGUGGCUGCUAGGACCCGAAAGAUGGUGAACUAUGCUUGAGCAGAGUGAAGUCAGGGGAAACUUUGAUGGAAGCUCGUAGCGGUACUGACGUGCAAAUCGUUCGUUUGACUUGAGCAUAGGGGCGAAAAACCAAUCGAACCAUCUAGUAGCUGGUUUCCUCUGAAAUUUCUCUUAGGAUAGCGAGGACAGAAUCAGUUCCAUCGGGUAAAGCAAAUGAUUAGAGUACCAUGGCUCUCUCUCACGCUGUGGACUAUUCUCAAACUUUGAAUCGGUGGCUAAKAUGUUUGCUUAGUUGAACAUUUAAAGAAAUGACUGUCCUUAGUGGGCCAUUUCUGGUAAGCAGAACUGGCGAUGAGGGAUGCUCCUUGAGCCGAGUUAAGGUGCCAAAGUUACGGUCAAAGAUACCAUGAAAGGAGUGGGUUUGUUUAGACAGUAGGAGGGUGGCCCUACAAGCAGGCAUCCCAUAACGAGUGCCCUUGGCUCACCUACCGAACGAGCUUGCCCUGAAAAUGGAUGGCGCUAUACCGUAACACCGAUACUCGGCC